AUGUCGGAGGUGCAGGUCCUGGUGCUUGACAGUCGAGGCGGCUUGGCGGCCAUCACGGCUAAGCAGAUACUGCUGGGCCGGAAGGUGGUGGUUGUUCGCUGCGAGGGCAUCAACAUUUCUGGCAAUUUCUACAGAGGCAAGUUGAAGUACUUGGCUUUCCUCCGCAAGGGGGUGAACACCAACCCUUCCGGGGGCCCACUAUCACUUCCAGGUUCCAGCCGCAACUUCCGGGUCCCAGCCGCAUCUUCCGGCGGACCGUGCGAGGUAUGCUGCCCCACGAGACCUAGCGAGGCCCUGCCGCCAGGGACCGCCUCCGACCGCCUCCAGGUGUUUGACGGCAUCCACCCUAUUGCAAGAAAAAGCGGAUGGUGGUUCCUGCGGUCCUCAAGGUAGUGCGUCUGAAGCGUAUAAGGAAGUUUGCCUGUCUGGGGCGCCUGGCUUACGAGGUUGGCUGCAAGUACCAGGCAGUGACGGCCAUCCUGGAGGAGGAGGAAGGAGAAAGCCAAGAUCCACUACCGGAAGAAGCAGCAGCUCAUGAGGCUACGGAAACAAGCCGAGAAAAACGUGGAGAAGAAAACUGACAAAUACACAGAGGUCCUCAAGACCCAUUGACUCCUGGUCUGAGCCCAAUAAAGACUGUUAAUUCCUCAUGCUUGGCCUGGCCUGCUUUCCUCCAUCGUCGCCCUGGAAUAUGCGGGGCCCAGGGGCAGCCGCAGUCCGGGUGCCACAGGCAGCCUGGGCCAUAGGAAGCACGGAGCAAGGAAACGGUCCAGUCACUGCCUGCCGAGGUUACUUGAAAGCGCUCAGAGAAUUGCGCAGGUGUCAUUUAUCUAUGACCAAUUGGAAGAGCAACCAGUUACUAUUAGCAAAGGGAGCCGGAAGACUUAAUUGGAAGGGCCUUAGUUGUGAGUGGGGCGUCUAUCUAACUUUCCAUCUGGUCGUAUACUAUAUACUCUGCAGCUGUUAGAAUGUGCAAGCACCUGGGAACAGCAUGAGCCUGCUGUUGUACAAAGGGUAUUUAUAGAAGCAUAGACUGGGAAGAUGGACAACUCUGAGGGGUUACAGGCAAUGUCUGUGCCCCUUACCUG